CCUGCCUAGGACGCAAGUGCAGGGUGCCAAGCGGAGAGCCUGGAUCAUAUUUCACAUGUGCCUGUCCCAGAGGAAUUCCUUAACUCUCCCUUCCUGGAACCGAAAUGCUUCCAAAGACAGAGAGCUCCUAUAUAUAUUUCUCUGUUUUCCCCAGAGGACCGUGCAUGAAAGGCGCCUUUCCUGGCGCGUGUGUCUCUGACCCUGUGGAUCUUCUGGACAAUUCCCGGAAUUUCUUGCAGGGCAGCACUUCCCCUUAAGUCGUCUCUUUCUCGUUUGGAUAGUCAGUAUUUAUAUAGUCACUAUUCUCUUUUGGUUAGCCAUCUAAUUUUAUACUGCUAGUCAAGCUCUACUCCCUUCCCCCUAGAGUUUGAAUUUAUUUUUCUUCAAACGCUACACAAACCCAAAUAAACUCAACCAAAGCGGACUUUACCUACCUUCCUACCUACCUACCAAGAAAAUAUCCCACAAAGGAGAGAACGGAGAAGCUUGCAAUACAGGAAGAAAAAAAAAGAAUUACAGAAUGGAAGGGAUGUGUGCGCUAAAAAUGCAGGUACUUAAAGGAAAUUGGGCUGAUUUGUACUGGACACCGAAUUUGAGGAAUACAGGAUCUCAACCUUUCUUUGACUGGAUUACUUUUUUAUUCCAUUUUGGUGUGGACGCGUCUGAAACUGAUAGUGCUGCUGCUACCUACCAUAAUGUGUUUGUUGCAAGAUCCACAAGAACGUGGAUGCCAAGAAUCCACAAAAAAAAAACAGAUGCAACCGUUGAUGAGGCCAUAAGCAGAAACAAUGUGCUAGCAGAAUGUGCUAAUUCGUAAAUAUCUUCUGCCCUGAGAAGAGAGAUGACACAGCAAGAAGAAGGAUGCUAAGUCAUACUCAGUUAAGAUUCUGCUGCUAGGAGCCAAAGAGUCAUUCUUUCCUCAUUCCUGUGACCAUCUGCGAGAAACCAGAACUAUGUCUCCCUCCUGCACGAAUCACAGAGGACAUCCCCAUACAAUAGCCUGGAGUGAUUCCCGCCCCACCCCCCACCCCCAUCCCCACACCCCCACCCCCACUUUUUUAAAAAGGGAAUCCAGGAAUCGUCCUGCUUCCUGUAAGGAUCAGAAAGAAGGGGCAAAAUAGCACUGCAGGUGGAACUCUGAUCCCUUCCCAGGCUCACAGAAGCUUUUAGGUAACUGGGGCUUCUCGGGAAAUUAAAAGAAAAUUAAUAAAAUGAACCACACUUACCA